UGUCAUCAGAUUGAAUGGAAGAAGAAAAGGAAAAAAAAUCAACGGUACCAUUUGGCUGUUGACCACCACAAAGACCGUAAGAGUAGGAGUAGAUUUCGAAUCUCGGCAUCCAUUGAUUCCCAAUGAUACAGUUGGGCUUGUUUCCUUUCACAUAGUGUAGAAGCAGGAGUAGAGAUAUAGGUGCAAAAGAUUGGAGAGAAGGAUAAAGGGGAAAAAAAAGAAAAGAAAAGAAAAGAAAUCCUCAUUGUCCUAGAAAGCCCUCAAGUCAGGUCACCACCUUCCCUCCAAUUUAAUGACCGUUGGGGAAGUUGGCAGCUCCUCCUCAUCAAAUCUUUAAUGCCAUGGGGUUGGGGGGCACCCCUCCCAAUUCAACAAUUUCCAUCCAACAUUUAACUCUCUUUUUCCCUUGCUACAUUUAUUAGCACCAAAAAAAUUUGUGGUACAUAAUUUAUAAAUGAGCACAUAUUUUGGUAAGAAAUUAACGUAGAGGUUGUAUAUAGUUUCCAUAAAUGUUCUUUGACAAAUCAAACUUCAGUUUCAUGAAAUCAUGAGAUUCUUGUUUCAGAAUACUUAUACAUUACUCGUAUACAUGCCAUUUUCAUGUUUCUACCUCACACGAAAUUCUUUAGCUUACAACAAAAGUUGCAGGGUCUACAUGACUAGAAAUUGUUAAUUGAUUGAUAUUUUUUCUUAUUCAUUUUCUUGAGUUUUGAUUCGGCCCGGCAGCAAUCAACAACUGAAGGUUAGAAUUCUUUUGCUUGCUUUGUUUAUUCUUGGUUUUAUCUUUUUGGUAGAUGAACUAACUCGGGCGGAUAGUACAAGGCUGCAUUUAUUUUACAGCACAAUUUUAGUCAAUUAUAUAUAUCCAUUCACUGGUUACCAAGAAACUUGCAUAGACAAUUACAUCAUUCAUUUGAUCCGGUUUUGUCACUUUUACUUGGUCUAGAAGAAGUUUAAAUACAAUAGAAUGGUUGGUUUGAAAAUCUGAGUGGAGGGAGAUGAAAGAUUAGUUCUGAUUUAGGUGAAGAUCCUACUGGUAUAUAAUCUGUUCUCUUCUUAUCCUGACCAUCAGGGCAGGUCACUUCUUCAGAAUUCAAUUUCUGGGAUAGAAAGAUCAUAUAAAAUUUUGAAGUGUAUUCCAAUAUAAGGAUUGCGCAGUUGAGAAGACUUGAGCAUUUGUAGUUGGAUUCUUGGGUAAAACUAGAAUGUCAUGGAAUAUCUUGUUUAGGUGAGAAGAAUCAAAUGAGUUGGGAUUUUGGUGAUGCAACACAAGAAAAAUCUCAUUGUUAAUUUAAGCCCCUGAUUGUUUUAUAGUAGUAACAAGAAUCAGAUUUUGGACCUGAAAACAAAGGUUAGGUACAAUUUUGAAGCCCUUCUUCAUAUCCGUAGGUUUUGAUUGGUUCUCCACAUUACCCUUGUUCAUUAAUUGUGCUAACUUUGGUUGAGGAAUGAUGGUUGGAAGUAUUGAAGUGGCGAAUCAUAAGGUGCAUUUGAAUGGUGCAAUGCAGCAUCAAAAUGGUUUUGAAGAGAAGCUUGAUGAGCUUCGACAGUUGUUAGGCAAGGCUGACGGUGAUUUGUUGAGGAUUGUUGGCGUUGGAGCAGGUGCAUGGGGUAGUGUUUUUGCAGCUUUGCUCCAAGAUAGCUAUGGCCAGUUCAGAGAUAAGGUUCAGAUCAGGAUAUGGAGAAGGCCAGGAAGGGCAGUUGAUAGAGCCACAGCAGAGCGUUUAUUCGAGGUAAUCAACUCAAGGGAGGAUGUAUUAAGGAGGUUGAUCAGGCGAUGCGCAUAUUUGAAGUAUGUUGAGGCAAGAUUGGGCGAUCGCACACUGUAUGCUGAUGAGAUUCUAAAAGAUGGCUUCUGCUUGAACAUGAUUGACACGCCACUCUGUCCUUUGAAGGUUGUCACCAACUUGCAGGAGGCUGUUUGGGAUGCCGAUAUUGUGGUGAAUGGAUUGCCUUCUACAGAAACACAGGAAGUGUUUGUGGAAAUCAGCAGGUACUGGAAAGAAAGAAUAACGAAGCCGAUUAUUAUUUCUUUGGCUAAGGGUAUAGAGGCUGAACUGGAUCCUGUUCCUCAUAUAAUAACCCCUACGCAGAUGAUCAUUCGUGCAAGUGGAGUACCAAUAGAGAACAUUCUCUAUCUUGGUGGACCAAACAUUGCCUCAGAGAUUUAUGACAAGGAAUAUGCUAAUGCUCGAAUUUGUGGCGCUGAAAAAUGGAGAAUACCACUCGCAAAGUUCUUAAGGCAGCCUUACUUCAUUGUAUGGGACAACAGUGACCUUGUCACACAUGAAGUUAUGGGCGGCUUGAAGAAUGUUUAUGCUAUAGGUGCAGGAAUGAUUGCAGCACUAACUAAUGAAAGUGCUACCAGCAAGUCAGUAUAUUUCGCACAUUGUACAUCAGAAAUGAUUUUCAUCACCCAUUUAUUGACGGAAGAACCAGAGAAGCUUGCAGGCCCUUUACUCGCCGACACUUACGUAACCUUGUUGAAGGGGCGCAAUGCCUGGUAUGGUCAGAUGAUAGCCAAGGGAGAAUUAAGCCUGGAUAUGGGGGAUAGCAUCAGCGGCAAAGGGACAAUUCAGUUUCUACUAUUUUCAGGGGGUCUCUGCUGUGGGGGCAUUUUAUGAACUUCUAAGUCAGUCUAGUCUGAGUGUAUUGCAUCCUGAGGAUAACAAGCCUGUUGCGCCAGUCGAGCUCUGCCCCAUCUUGAAGACACUGUACAAAAUACUAAUAACAAGAGAACAAGGAGUACGGGCCAUUCUUCAAGCAUUAAGGGAUGAAAAUCUGAAUGAUCCCCGGGACAGAAUAGAGAUUGCACAAACUCAUGCUUUCUACAGGCCUUCGCUUCUUGGGCAGCCUUGAUCUGCAGGGCGACAAAUUAAAGAGUGACUAAAGUUGAAUAAGUGUAUAAAUUGCUUCGGAUGGAAUUUAGAAUUGUCAAUGUGACCUCUUCUUUUGAACUUAUUUUUUAGUCUGGAGUCAAAUGCAGCAACAUGCACAAUGCAAUUUGCAGUGAAAUACUUCUUAAUCAGCAAACUCCAUACUGAGAUUUCCUAGAUGCAUACAGAACUCUGCAGAAAGCCAUAGCUUCCAGGUUCUGUUUUUAGAUUCUAUGAACUGUUACUUCUGGAUGCUGAUGAUUGUCCCAAAUCCACACACAUAUUGCAAAGGCAAUCACACUUUUCAGCCCC